rnacentral:lncRNA from 1 species
UGGCUUUCACAAAGAAGGCAGAGGAGCUUUGUCUCCAUGAGGACAGGGCUGGGAGGACCACACUUGUCCCUGUGUCCUGGACAGUGGUGUGGGAACUGGAGGUAGCAAUCAGAAGUCUAAGUAAGCCAGCUGACCUCUAAGCCCAAAGGACUCCCCCUUGCUUACCUUAGACAGUCCAACCUUGGGAAUAGCUUUAAAAAGGGGAAUUAAUACUGAGACAGUGAAGUCCCCUUAAGCCGACAAGCCCUCCAUAGGUGCACACCGCACACAUAGGCUUCUCUCAGUGCAGACUCCAGGUGGUGGUCAACAGCUGCGGCAUGCUUAUCUAUUUGUACGAAAUAGUGUAGGGAAGCCCCAGGAGGUGUUAUAGCUUCCAUAUACCAUGUGGCUUUUGAUGUUUCUGGAUUUUCAACAGCACAAAAGAGUCCUCGAGCCGGAACAUGCGCUACUCCGAUUUUAAACGUGGCUGGGCUGUGAGACCCGUUCUUGGCUCUGGUUUUACGAAGCCAUCAAUACAUACACACCCUUGAUGGAGCUGCAGAUCCGUUCCUUUUCCUGCAGCCCACUUGUGGGGGAAAAGUGCCUUACUGACUUACAGUAGCCACUCAGUUUCAACAGGUGCCUAUCUUUGACAAAAAAAAACCAC